CAUUGCAGGAUUUUGCUGAUCAGAAAGUUCAAGAAGGUGGCCUGCCAGAGGAUGAGAAAGAAAAAUUCAAGGAAUUCCUGAAGGAGAAGGUUAGAGAAAGGAAGAGAGAACUGAAACAGGCUAAAGAAGCCAGGAGGAAAGCUAUUGAUGAUAUGGAUCCUAAGGGGAAAGGGUAAACCAAAAUCAAAAUCAAAUCCAAAGGAUACAGGUUCAUGGUUUGAUGGCGACAGAAAAGCCAUAAUCCAACUAGCUGGAGAACUUUUCUGGAAAAUGGGUGAAGACCUGGAUAGCAUCGCAAAAGAUUAUACUGCUUCUUUUCAGGAGUGGCAUGUCUGUUAGUUUUAUUU